CGGAAACAUGGAUCACCACAGAUAACACUGCUACUCCUACUGCUCUCUCCUCGUCUGACUACGUGUUCUCGCAUACCCCUAGAGCAUCGAGCCAGCGGGGUGGUGGCACUGGAAUCCUCAUCUCUCCCAAGUGGACAUUCUCUCUUUCUCCCCUGACCCAUCUGUCUAUCUCCUCAUUUGAAUUCCAUGCUGUCACAGUUACCGGCCCUUUCAAGCUUAACAUCCUUAUCAUUUAUCGCCCUCCAGGUUCCCUUGGAGAGUUCAUCAAUGAGCUUGACGCCUUGAUAAGUUCCUUUCCUGAGGAUGGCUCACCUCUCACAGUUCUGGACCAUUUCCGGAGACCUUCUCCCCUACCUCACCUCGCUCAUCAACGCAUCCUUGACCGCUGGCUACGUCCCUUCCGUCUUCAAGAGAGCGAGAGUUGCACCCCUUCUGAAAAAAACCUACACUCGAUCCCUCCGAUGUCAACAACUACAGACCUAUCUGCUGCCUUUGAUACCGUGAACCAUCAGAUCCUCCUCUCCACCCUCUCCGAGCUGGGCAUCUCCAGCACCGCGCACGCUUGGAUUGCG
rnacentral:lncRNA from 1 species